rnacentral:rRNA from 1 species
CAAUAGCGUAUAUUUAAGUUGUUGCAGUUAAAAAGCUCGUAGUUGGAUUUCGGGUGGGACGCAGCGGUCUCGCAUUGCGUUUGUACUGCUGCAGCCCUCCUUCUUGCCGGGGGCGGCCUCUCGGACUUCACUGUCUGGGGGUCAGAAUCGGCGAUGUUACUUUGAGUAAAUUAGAGUGUUCAAAGCAAGCUUACGCUCUGAAUAUAAUAGCAUGGGAUAACACGACAGGACUCUGGCCUAUCGUGUUGGUCUAUAGGACCAGAGUAAUGAUUAAGAGGGACAGUCGGGGGCAUUCGUAUUCCGUUGUCAGAGGUGAAAUUCUUGUAUUUACGGAAGACGAACAUCUGCGAAAGCAUUUGCCAAGGAUGUUUUCAUUGA